UGUAGGCAGGCCUGUGGGGGAAUUUUCUGGAUUGAUGACAGAUGUGGGUGGACCCAGCCCAUUGUGGGUGAUGCCAGCCCUGGGUGGGUGGUCCUGGUUGCUGUAAGAAAGCAGGCUGAGCAAGCCAGAAAUAAGCCAGGAAGCAGCACCCUGCAUGGUCUCUGCUUCAGUUCCUACAUCCGGGUUUCUGCCUGGAGUUCCUGCCCUGAUCUCCUUCACAGAGGACUGUUAACAGCCAUUCAAAGUAUUCUUCCCCAAGUUGCUUUGCUCUCUCUCUCUUUUUUUUUCUUUUUUCUUUUUUUUAUCACAGCAACAAAGAUCAAAAUAGGACAAUGUCUCACCUGUAACAACUCAGAUGUCUCAUCUUCUCUCAAGGACACCUGUGCCUGUGGGUUUAAGGCACCAGCACAGAUCACCUUCCCUAAGACCUGGAUUUCUGUAUACGGCCAGACAUUCAGGAAGUUCCCCAGUAAUUCCCGUUAGUGUCGUUGCCCUUGCUACGACAGGGCACUUACACACGCACCAGCCCAGAUUUCUUCCUGGAACAAGAUGUGGCCCCUCUAAUCAGAUGUGGCCUGCGGCUGUGCAUGAGGACCCAGAUCUGCAAUCUCAGCUCUGGGGAGGAAGGAGUUGGAGGUCGGCAUGUCUCAGCAAGCUAAAGACAGGGCUGGAGUUCAUCAGUGAAGAGCGCUUGCUGCCCUGACAGAGGUUCCCUAGCACUUCCUUUGGGAAUAAAGGUGUGUGCCACCACCACCUCACAAAAAAAUAAAAUAAAUAAUUUUAAAAAGCAAAAAUAAAAGGAGCGCACAUCAUUAAUCUCAGCACUCAGGUGGCAGAGGCAAGCAGAUCUUUGAGUUCAAGGCCAGCCUGGUCUACAGAGUUCCAGGACAGGUAGGGUUGGUUACCCAGAAAAACCCUGUUUCAAGAAAAAACAAAAUAAAUAAAUAAAACUGAAGUCCCCUGCACAGCCACAGGGUGAGACUCCUCAAAAUCAGUCCAUUUAUUUAGGUGUUUGCUUUUUUUCCCCCCACAAGG